CGGCCAGGCUGCCCGUCAUCAAGAAGAAGUUGCGGCCGGUGGACAAGCAGGGCCGGACCGAGUCCAGGCGGUUGUGGCAGCACGUCACCAGGUCUCUGAAGGAGGGGAACAUGGAGGAGGCCACGGAACACAAGCACCAGCUGGAGGAACGCCAGAGGGCAGAGGAGAAGCAGAGAGCGGGGAACAACACACCCUGGACCCCCAAACACUUCACCAAGGAGGGAGAAGGCUGGACCUUCAACAACACACUGCGGAAGUCUCCCUGACCGCAGCACCUCCACUACCCCCUGGACUAUCAAUAAAAACCCUUCGCCCCACCCUCCUCCUCCUCCACUCUGAUGGCAAAGACACUGAGGAGGAACGUGGAAGGGAACCAGGUGCCAAAUGGUUUGGGCGGGGUUGGGGGAAGGGGGGGGUCAUCACUGUAUCGGUGAUUCUCGUUGCAGGGUUCUUUAUCAGACAAAUAUAGUAUACAUUUUUAUAUGAUAGUAUCGCGUGAGAGUAUUUCUAUAUAUAUUUAGUUUUUUUUUCUUGCGCACUCAAAGACAUUCGCCACCGGUGUUUGUGCUGCUCUCCUCACGUGCGUGCGUGUGUGUGUGUGUGUGUGUGCGCACUCAGUGUCUAUUUUUUCACAUUCCAAAGCCUUUCGUUGUCAUGCAGCUUUAAAACAAAUCCAAAUCUAACCGCUUGGCAAGGCCGCCAUCACAGAUCUGCCCGGGGGACGGCAGAUGUGCGUCUCACACACAAAGCGUUGUCGUCGCCAGGCUCAACGUGGUUCCUCCGAGCGCACGCCUCCGCGCGUCAACAACAAAAUGGCCGCCGCUUUGUCAUCGAGGCCGGCGGCAAAACCGGACACCUCACCGUUUGUGGAUGUUUUUAUUUUAUUUUAUUUUUAACCGCUAGAACAUGAAUGUACCCGGUCACACCACGAUGUUGGUACUAGGGUCUCAUUGAUUUUGCACACGACGUGGACGGCAGUGUGUUGUCUCCAUGUCUGUUAUUGUGCCACGGUGAGCUUUCAUCAGCCUAGUAAUUUAUUUUCAUCAAGGGAAAUGCCUCGGUUCCCACCCCUUCCUAAUGCACCCUUGUUUUCCAACUACGUUCACCCUCUAAUCACAGGCAUUAGCUAUGUAAUAAUACCAUGCACACACACACAGACACACUUCCUGUGCAAUACACAAUAUUACGUUUACCCUGAGGGGGGGGGUCCUCUGUGUUCGAGUGUGUGUGUGUUCGAGUGUGUGUGUGUGUGUGUAUCCUCUGCGUAGCAUAGAGGUGAUUAGGCAGAGGGUGCACUCAGCUCACGCUCGGCGAUGCAAAUAUAUCUCUGUUGGAUGAAGCCCAGAGAUAUUUUGAACAUGCAUAGGAGGGGAUGCAUACAGGGAGGGACACGACCCCCACUACCCCACUCGAGGGAGCCACUGUUUGGCUGCAGGAAGAUGAAAGAAGGCAUUAAGCUCCCCAGAGUAUUAAAGAGGGAAGCCACGUGUGUAAGGAGAUGUUUCCAGUAAUCUAUUUACAACUUGAGUCCUGAAUACGCUUAUCCACAUGCCUUUUUUCUUUCACCAUGUAUUCCUGCCAUUGCCAAAAAAUGUAACCCUUUGCUUUGUGGUAUUUUUAACAAUUUCUCGAAUAUUCUUAUGACGGUGAGAAGGAAAAUGUAGGUCAGUUUGUUGUUUAUUCAGUGUUAGUGGACAAAGCAAUGCAGGGACCUAGAGACAAGCAUUGCUCGAUUCCUUCCCGAAUUGGUGAUGUUUAGGUAGGGACAUGUACCUAAACCUAUAUACUUCUCAACCAUUUUUGUUUCAACACAACGUCGGUACACUCUGCUGUCGAAUCUAAAGUCGUCAACCUGUAAUCACAGGUACCAACAAACUGCCAGGCAACAACCACUGUGUUCCAUUGUUCAUGAACACUAGCUUUAUAUGAAACUAGCAAGCACUUUUUUAAAAGAAGGAAAUGCUGAUGUGAGAUGUGAGACGGAGAGAAGGUGUCCGCAUUAGAAUACACGCCACACACACACACAUCCAUUUGUCUUAAUUUGAUCAAACGUUAAUUUCACUUCUGUUCACACUCGAUAUCCUGAAUGUAUUGUCCUUGUUCUUUCUUGACCCAUGACCGAAUAACUCUUUAGGUAGAAUACCUAUGCAACGCCACAAACCAUAGGUUGAAGGAGACUUUGAAGAAAAAUAAAAAGGUUUAGUAGAAUCUUUGUUCUAAUAAAUGUGGAAUUUAAAUGAUGGAUCUCAUUUUUUGACUGCUGCAGUAUAGUAUGAUUGAAUCGACCGAUUUAAGUUCCAGAUUUUAUUACUCUUAAUCUUGUGCUUUCCACUCCACUUUAUACUAUGUACUAAAGGAAAUAAACACAAUCUGGGGUUGACACUAAGGUUUUAAAAGCACUUGCCCAUCGGGCAAGUACAGGUCAGGUUCAACUUGCCCGAAUGUAAUGUUCACUUGCCCAAAUUAUAAUCAGAAUCAUGAACGGGC
ensembl:lncRNA